CCUGUAUCUGUUAAAGAAAUGGAACUUGUAGUUUAAAAAAACAUGCUAAAAAGAAAAGCUGAGAUCCCUUCACUGGUGAGUUGUUCCAAACAUUAAAGGAAAAAACAAACUUUUCCAAAAAAGCAGAGGGUGGAAUAGUCCCACAGCCUUUGAGCCUUUUACCCCCAAGGCCAAAACCAUAGGCAUCACCACCAGAGAAGCAAACUCCCUUUGCACUGAUGCAGAAAGCUUAAGCCAAAUUUUGGCAAGUUGAAUCCAACAAUAUGUGAAAAGGUCAAUACAUUACCAACAAUAAGCUCUCCCCAGAAUAUGGGGUUGGUUUAACAUUCAAAAAAAAAAAAAGUCUAGGGCUAGGGCUGGGGCUGUGGCUCAGCAGGUGUGCACUUGCCUGGCAUGUGUGAGGCACUGGGUUCGAUUCUCAGCACCCCAUAUACAUACAUACAUACAUACAUAAAUGCCUAUCAACUACUUAAAAAAUAUUUUUUAAAAAAAUUAUCAAUGUGACUCCAUAUAUAAGUGGUCUAUAAAAGAAAAAACUAUGUUCAUUUUUAACACAUGCAACAAAAAUUCAAUCAUCACGUCUGAUUUUAAAAAUGAAACUAGGAAAAAAAAAGAGGAUUUCUUCAACCCAACAAAGGCAACUAUAAAAAAUCCAUUGCUAACAGCAUAGCGAGGGAAGACCAAGCCCUCCGCUUCGGGGAUUGGGGACAAACCAGGGUCGGGCAAUGUCCUCUGCACUGCGUUCAACUUUGUCCUGAAGGUACUAGCCAGUGCGAUAAGGCAAAGAAAAGAAGGAAAAGAUACUCAGGAAAGGAAGAGGCUACAAUUGCUUAAAUAGGAAAUCCUAAGGAAUCUGUCCCAAAACACUAGAACAAGAAUGUUUGGCAAGUUCAACGGGUACAAGAUCAAGACGCAAAAUCCACUGUAUCUCAACAUAGC
rnacentral:lncRNA from 1 species